rnacentral:rRNA from 1 species
CUGGAGGUAUCAGAAGUGAGAAUGCAGGAAUGAGUAGCGAGAAGGCGGGUGAGAAUCCCGCCGGCCGGAAGUCCAAGGUUUCCAGGGGAAGGCUUGUCCGCCCUGGGGAAGUCGGGACCUAAGCAUAAGCAAAAUUGUGAUGGCGAAUGGAAAACAGGUUAAUAUUCCUGUACCGCUGUUAUCGCUUGAGAGACGGAGUGACGCAGGAAGGUAUGCGAGAAGGCUGACGGUUUAGCCUUUCUAAGGGCCCAGCGUGGGCGUGCAGGUAAAUCCGCACGCCUAAACGUGAGACCUGACGGGGAAGUGCAUUUGCAUAAGUCGCAGAUCCUACACUGCCAAGAAAAACUUCUAUCGAUGAGAAGCAGCGCCCGUACUGUAAACCGACACAGGUGGACAGAGUGAGAAACUUAAGGCCGACAGGAUAACUCUAGCUAAGGAACUCUGCAAAAUAGCCCCGUAACUUCGGGAGAAGGGGUGCCUGACAUACCUGAAGGAGAGAAGCGCUCCCAGGGGAAACAGGCCGCAGUGAAGAGUCUCAAGCAACUGUUUACCAAAAACACAGGUCUAUGCUAAGCUGAAAGGCGACGUAUAUGGGCUGACACCUGCCCAGUGCCGGAAGGUUAAGAGGAGGAUUGAGAGAUCCGAAUUGAAGCCCCGGUGAACGGCGGCCGUAACUAUAACGGUCCUAAGGUAGCGAAAUUCCUUGUCGGGUAAGUUCCGACCUGCACGAAUGGUGAAAUGAUUUGGGAGCUGUCUUGGCUGGAGACCUGGUGAAGUUGUAAUGCCGGUGAAGAUACCGGCUACCUGCAGUAGGACGGAAAGACCCCGUGGAGCUUUACUGUAGCUUGGCAUUGGGUUCUGGCAAUGUGUGUAUAGGAUAGUUGGGAGACUGUGAUGUGAUGGCGUCAGCCAUUGCUGAGUCGCUGUUGGAAUACCAACCAUAUGCUGUCGGAAUUCUAAUCUGGCAACGGAGACAGUGCUAGGUGGGCAGUUUGACUGGGGCGGUCGCCUCCCAAAGAGUAACGGAGGCGUUCAAAGGUUCCCUCAGGCUGGAUGGAAAUCAGCCUAAGAGUGCAAACGCAUAAGGGAGCUUGACUGCAAGACUGACGGGUCGAGCAGGUACGAAAGUAGGAGUUAGUGAUCCGGCGGUUCCGCAUGGAAGGACCGUCGCUCAACGGAUAAAAGCUACCCCGGGGAUAACAGGCUGAUACUUCCCAAGAGUCCAUAUCGACGGAAGUGUUUGGCACCUCGAUGUCGGCUCGUCUCAUCCUGGGGCUGGAGAAGGUCCCAAGGGUUGGGCUGUUCGCCCAUUAAAGAGGCACGCGAGCUGGGUUCAGAACGUCGUGAGACAGUUCGGUCCCUAUCCACUGCAGGCGCUUGAAUAUUGAAAAGAUCUGACCUUAGUACGAGAGGACCGGGUUGGACAGACCUCUGAUGUAUCAGUUGUCACGCCAGUGGCAUGGCUGAGUAGUCACGUCUGGUACGGAUAACCGCUGAAAGCAUCUAAGCGGGAAGCCGACUUUGAGAUGAAUAUUCGUAGUAUCCAUAGAGAACAUAUGGUCGAUAGGCUAGGGGUGCAAGUGCAGCAAUGCAUUUAGCUGACUAGUACUAAUAUUACGUCUGCUUUUA